rnacentral:rRNA from 1 species
GAUGAACGCUAGCUACAGGCUUAACACAUGCAAGUCGAGGGGCAGCACAGGUAGCAAUACCGGGUGGCGACCGGCGCACGGGUGAGUAACGCGUAUGCAACUUACCUAUCAGAGGGGGAUAACCCGGCGAAAGUCGGACUAAUACCGCAUGAAGCAGGGGCCCCGCAUGGGGAUAUUUGCUAAAGAUUCAUCGCUGAUAGAUAGGCAUGCGUUCCAUUAGGCAGUUGGCGGGGUAACGGCCCACCAAACCGACGAUGGAUAGGGGUUCUGAGAGGAAGGUCCCCCACAUUGGUACUGAGACACGGACCAAACUCCUACGGGAGGCAGCAGUGAGGAAUAUUGGUCAAUGGGCGUAAGCCUGAACCAGCCAAGUCGCGUGAGGGAUGAAGGUUCUAUGGAUCGUAAACCUCUUUUAUAAGGGAAUAAAGUGCGGGACGUGUCACGCUUUGUAUGUACCUUAUGAAUAAGGAUCGGCUAACUCCGUGCCAGCAGCCGCGGU